AGGAACCAGUUCACCAUCUUUUGUCCUGUUCAUACUGCUAACUGCAGUUAAAUUGCUUCUGUGUUGUAUCAUGUCAGCAGUCUGUCUCUACAGGUUAAAAGCUAUUUUCAGAACCUGAUGAAGCAAAUAUAAAGGAAUCAACUGAUUUCUGCAGAAUCCGGUCUCUGCUCAACUGUACAGUGACGUGGAUGUGGACGGACAACAAACGGAGGAGGACAUGGAGAGGACAAGAUCAAACUAUGGUCACCUCUAAACUGAGAAAUUGUUCAGAAACAUCAAGAGAGAGCGCAAAUUAAAAUAAUUAGCAUUUUUAACUUUCAAAUCAGCGGCUUCAAAGGAGAGUUUUUAGAGGACACAAAAGAAA